UACGUAGGGUGCGAGCGUUAAUCGGAAUUACUGGGCGUAAAGGGUGCGCAGGCGGUUAUAUAAGACAGAUGUGAAAUCCCCGGGCUCAACCUGGGAACUGCGUUUGUGACUGUAUGACUAGAGUACGGUAGAGAGGGGUGGAAUUCCUGGUGUAGCAGUGAAAUGCGUAGAUAUCAGGAGGAACAUCGAUGGCGGAAGGCAG
rnacentral:rRNA from 1 species